UAGUCCACGCUGUAAACGAUGAAUACUAGGUGUGGGAGGACUGACCCCUUCCGUGCCGCAGUUAACACAAUAAGUAUUCCACCUGGGGAGUACGACCGCAAGGUUGAAACUCAAAGGAAUUGACGGGGGCCCGCACAAGCAGUGGAUUAUGUGGUUUAAUUCGACGCAACGCGAAGAACCUUACCAGGAUUUGACAUCCUACUAACGAAGCAGAGAUGCAUUAGGUGCCCUUCGGGGAAAGUAGAGAC
rnacentral:rRNA from 1 species